rnacentral:lncRNA from 1 species
UGUAUUUAGUUGUCUUUUGUAUUCUCUUUUGUUGUUGGAUGUUUCUUUGGUAUAUUUGCAGGUGCUCGUCAACGCAAACUUAAAGAGGAAUUCUUUCUCUUCGUGUCUUUCAGAUGAGUCUCGAAGGUUGAAAAGGUCGAACCGUUUAUUGUACUUAAGUAUGAUUCAUAUAUGUCGUUUCUUAGCUUGGGGUUCAUUCUGAUGGUUUUUGAUACUAUACAACACCAUGGACAUUGCUCCAUCUUGUGUUCUAAACGAUUGCCUCAAGGCACGAGAUAGUCGUCGUUAGCCUCUUCAUAACGUCCUCCGUUGCUUCUAAAAUAGUUGAUUUGUUUGCGUUCUUAGUUUUAGUCUACCAAGGGCCAAUACAAUUUGCUGAAGUUGGAUAGUGCUUAGUUUUGCUCCUCUGUUUCUUUCUACGGAUAAACCUUUGUUACCUCGUAUGUUGAUUGGUGCACAAUAGGUUCAAAUGGUGGCAAACCUUUAUUUCACCAUAUACGACGCUGGGGUUUCCUUUUUCCUAUCCUUUGAGAUUCAUUUCUAUAUUUUUUUGGUUUUAGACCUCUGGUGGCUUUUUUUUCUUUUUAGCCUCCCUCAUUUAUAUUUUGAUUGUAUUUGAACUUAUAAUAUCU